rnacentral:ncRNA from 2 species
UAAUCGAAUCGACAUGAUGGUGCUGAUGAAGCCUAACAGGGAAUCAAGUGAUAAUCUUGAGCUGUCCCAGCAACCGUGAUACGGACGAAAUGCGAAUGACCACUGCUAAAGCGGGAAGGUGCAGAGUAGGAUGAUGUUAAGCCGGGAGACCUACCACAUAUGUCAAAGCGAG